GGUGAACGCUGGCGGUAGGCCUAACACAUGCAAGUCGAACGGCAGCACAGUAAGAGCUUGCUCUUACGGGUGGCGAGUGGCGGACGGGUGAGGAAUACAUCGGAAUCUACUUUUUCGUGGGGGAUAACGUAGGGAAACUUACGCUAAUACCGCAUACGACCUACGGGUGAAAGCAGGGGAUCUUCGGACCUUGCGCGACUGAAUGAGCCGAUGUCGGAUUAGCUAGUUGGCGGGGUAAAGGCCCACCAAGGCGACGAUCCGUAGCUGGUCUGAGAGGAUGAUCAGCCACACUGGAACUGAGACACGGUCCAGACUCCUACGGGAGGCAGCAGUGGGGAAUAUUGGACAAUGGGCGCAAGCCUGAUCCAGCCAUACCGCGUGGGUGAAGAAGGCCUUCGGGUUGUAAAGCCCUUUUGUUGGGAAAGAAAAGCAGCAGGUUAAUACCCCGCUGUUCUGACGGUACCCAAAGAAUAAGCACCGGCUAACUUCGUG
rnacentral:rRNA from 1 species